AAUUUUGGACAAUGGGGGAAACCCUGAUCCAGCCAUCCCGCGUGUAUGAUGAAGGCCUUCGGGUUGUAAAGUACUUUUGGCAGAGAAGAAAAGGCAUCCCCUAAUAGGGGAUGCUGCUGACGGAAUCUGCAGAAUAAGCACCGGCUAACUACGUGCCAGCAGCCGCGGUAAUGCGGAGGGUGCAACCGUUAACCGGAAUUACUGGGCGUAAAGCGUGGUUAGGCGGGUCGGAAAGAAGUAUGUGAAAUACCAGGGCUCAACCUUGGAACUGCAUUUUUAACUGCCGAGCUAGAGUAUGUCAGAGGGGGGUAGAAUUCCACGUGUAGCAGUGAAAUGCGUAGAUAUGUGGAGGAAUACCGAUGGCGAAGGCAGCCCCCUGGGAUAAUACUGACGCUCAGACACGAAAGCGUGGGGAGCAAACAGG
rnacentral:rRNA from 1 species